CCGCCACCGCCACCACCACCGCCACCAUCACUACCACUACCACCACCACCAUCACCAUGCUGGUCCUGCCGCCACGCAAACUGAAGUCUCGCACCGCGCCUCAGGUGCAUCGAUGUGACCAGUUAAGUUUCCAUUCCUCGAGAUCAGCGCAGCAACAAUGACGCAGAAAUAAAGCCAGCAGCACACAAUGGUGACCAGCGCCGCCAUUUCCUGGUGAUCAGAGCGCGGAGAAGUAUCAUGAUGGAGACAAAAGGAAAGAAGAGACACGGCAGCAACACGGGCCCUUGGUGCAGCGGUGGCACGUCCAUUCACAGGCCGUUCACGCUCCACCUCACAUUCCACACAGCGGCACGUGACUGUUCCGCUUCUCUGGGCCUGCCACGCCGCGGCGGCCACCUGUGCGUCCAGCGCGGGGUGUUUAUCAUAUGUAGCUUUGGGUUACGUGUGUGAGAGAAAAGCCGGGACUCCGCACCUCACCACCCCAUCACCCGGCAGACUCCCAGCGUGCCGGGGCAAGAGGGAGGUGCUCGCAUCAUGCAGAGAGGCGGCAUGCGGCAGGACGCCGUGGUGUGGCCUUGGGUGGUGGCGUGGGCGGCGGUGGCUAACGUGGCGGUGGGCGGCGGGGAGCAGAACACCACCACCUCUCGGCCCACGUCCAUGAUGCCCACGCCCGCGGCCACGCCCAUGACGUGUGAGGACGCUCGCAUCAAGUGUGCACUGCGGGAGGGCUGUGGCAUGGCGCUGCAAAACUACAUGCUGGGCUGCGCUGACCUCAUCUCUGGCAAGAGCGCGGAGUGUGACCCCUACUGCAGGAACUCCCUCAUCGCCCUCACCUCCACCGAGGAGGGGCACGCCCUUAUGGAUUGUGUGUGUAGCGACGACUACUGCCGGGAAAGCAAGCAGCGGGUGGAGGUGUGCCGCGUGGAGGUGCUGCGGGCCAAUGCUAACUCCACGGUGGUCACCUGCAGCGUGGCGCACUGGAUCUGCUCCGCCGACACCCUCUGCUCCACCGCCAUCACCUACUAUGACCGAUAUUGCCGCAAGAUGUUCCUGGGCAAAGAGUGCAGUUUCCGGUGCAACAACAGCCUGGGUAUCCUGCAGCGCCAGGCCAAGGCGGCCAAGCUGGCCAGCUGCACGUGUGACGGCACAGAGCCCUUCGACUGUGAGGGCAUCAAGAACAACACGGCGCGGUUGUGCUUCCCCCACUGGGAGAAGGCGGCGGAGGAGGAGCAGGACCUAGAAGAGGAGGAGGAAAGAACGAACCAGGUGGAUACAUCGGGGGCGACGACCCACUCCCUCAGCGGCUUGGGGGUCGGCAUUGACAGGGGCACGCUUUGGACAGCUCAACUCCCACUGCUGCUACUGCUGCUCCUGACGCCAGCACGGUAGCCGAGGUGGUGAAAGGAGAGAUGAGGAGCCAGAGAUCACCACCACUACUACCAUCACCAUAGCCACCACCACCACCACCACAGCCACCACCGGGAUCAGCGCGCCGUCCAACACUCACACACACUCAUGGGACGUUUAAGAACAAGGGCACACGAAGACAGGACAUGGCGCGCAGUGAUGAUUGAUAGUGACGGUUGUGACGGCUUGAUGACUCUGUACAUUGUCUGUAGGGAUGACGUGACCAGCCACCGUGUUCCUCCCGCCGUGGCUGUGGUCGCACUAAGGUUGUGAUACUCAGAAGGCGGUACUCCGAAACGCACCACGACUGUUUUCCGAAGCUACAAAGAUGAUAAGGCGGGUUCUCAUGAGUGUUUCUCCUUUUGAUAAUAUAGAAAUCUUGUUAAUGCGUCACUAGAACUAUAAUAUCACUAAAACUACAAAAGCCAGUUGUGUGUCAUGGAGAUGCAGCGCGGAAGUGUUUCAGAAUAUGAUUCCAGUUUGACCGCCUUCCAUCACGUCAGAACCUUGCCGCGACACCACUCGAAUCCAGAGCUCAAUGUGGAAGUAUAGUGGACCUUGGAAAUGUGGAGUGAGUUUUUUUUUCUCUGUCCACCUUCCAUCCAGUGUGAAAAUAAGUGGAUGUGAUAAAACUUGGAAAUGUGUAGUGGGUGUUUUUUGCAUCCCGCUCCAUUCAAUGUGAAGAUUAUAAACAAGAUGGAAAGAAGCUUCGAACACAACUUUCUUUUCGUUAAUUUGACCAGCGGAAAGACUGGCUGCAAGUUUACAAAGAGUGACAUUUUAUCUAUUUAUUUUUUUCUUAUUUACUUGGUCCAGUUAAAAGACUCGUUUCAUUCUUCGAAAAUGUGGAGUGACUUUUUUUUCAGUUCCAUUGUGUAAUCAAAAGGACCCUUUGCUGAGGUGUGUGUGUGUGUGUGUGUGUGUGUGUGUGUGUGUGUGUGAUUACAGGUAAAUGUGUGAAGUUGUACAGGUGUUUUGUGGUUGGUUUGGUUAUAGCUUUGUAUGUGUGUUCUAUAUUACUGUAGUGUGUGUGUGUGUGUGUGUGUGAUGUGGAGCGUAUGUUAUUGUGUGCGCGUGUGUCGAACCAGCCAAACUAGGUACUUAGGGCACUGCCUGUACUUAUCCCUCCGCGCUGCUGCACCUCAACCCUGGAGUGACCUGUCCUAACCGUGGGCAGCAGGGAGUGACCUGAGGGAAUUCUCAUGUCAAGGAAAGUGUGUGGGGGGGAGGUAGCGCCGCACGGUAAAUACGCGUUGCAAGUGUAGCGGAAGACAGGCUUACAGUCACUCUCCAAAUCAAAAACAAUGCAAUGAGCCAUGCAGUCGUACACGAAAUAUUAUAACUCCAAACUAAAUUAAUGCAGAAAAUGAGAGAGAGAGAGAGAGAGAGAGAGAGAGAGAGAGAGAGAGAGAGAGAGAGAGAGAGAGAGAGAGAGA
rnacentral:misc_RNA from 1 species